AAAAACUCCGGUGGUAUACGAUGGAUCCGCGUCUGAUUAGCUUGUUGGCGGGGUAAAGGCCCACCAAGGCGACGAUCAGUAGCCGGCCUGAGAGGGUGAACGGCCACAUUGGGACUGAGACACGGCCCAAACUCCUACGGGAGGCAGCAGUGGGGAAUAUUGCACAAUGGGGGAAACCCUGAUGCAGCGACGCCGCGUGAGUGAAGAAGUAUUUCGGUACGUAAAGCUCUAUCAGCAGGGAAGAAAAUGACGGUACCUGACUAAGAAGCCCCGGCUAACUACGUGCCAGCAGCCGCGGUAAUACGUAGGGGGCAAGCGUUAUCCGGAUUUACUGGGUGUAAAGGGAGCGUAGACGGCAGCGCAAGUCUGAAGUGAAAUCCCAUGGCUUAACCAUGGAACUGCUUUGGAAACUGUGCAGCUGGAGUGCAGGAGAGGUAAGCGGAAUUCCUAGUGUAGCGGUGAAAUGCGUAGAUAUUAGGAGGAACACCAGUGGCGAAGGCGGCUUACUGGACUGUAACUGACGUUGAGGCUCGAAAGCGUGGGGAGCAAACAGGAUUAGAUACCCUGGUAGUCCACGCUGUAAACGAUG
rnacentral:rRNA from 1 species